rnacentral:rRNA from 1 species
UACAGAGGUCUCAAGCGUUGUUCGGAUUCAUUGGGCGUAAAGGGUGCGUGGGUGGCGCUGUAAGUCGGGUGUGAAAUUUCGGAGCUUAACUCCGAAACUGCAUUCGAUACUGCGGUGCUUGAGGACUGGAGAGGAGACUGGAAUUCAUGGUGUAGCAGUGAAAUGCGUAGAGAUCAUGAGGAAGACCAGUGGCGAAGGCGGGUCUCUGGACAGUUCCUGACACUGAGGCACGAAGGCCAGGGGAGCAAACGGG